UGGGGAAUUUUCCGCAAUGGGCGAAAGCCUGACGGAGCAACGCCGCGUGAGGGAGGAAGGCUCUUGGGUUGUAAACCUCUUUUGAUCAGGAAGAAAUCAAUGACGGUACUGAUCGAAUAAGCAUCGGCUAACUCCGUGCCAGCAGCCGCGGUAAUACGGAGGAUGCAAGCGUUAUCCGGAAUUAUUGGGCGUAAAGCGUCCGCAGGUGGUUUUUCAAGUCUGCUGUCAAAGACAGAAGCUUAACUUUUGAAAGGCGGUGGAAACUGAAAGACUAGAGACCAGUAGGGGUAGCGGGAAUUCCCAGUGUAGCGGUGAAAUGCGUAGAGAUUGGGAAGAACAUCGGUGGCGAAAGCGCGCUACUGGGCUGGGUCUGACACUCAGGGACGAAAGCUAGGGGAGCGAAAG
rnacentral:rRNA from 1 species